rnacentral:rRNA from 1 species
GAUGAACGCUAGCGGCAGGCCUAAUACAUGCAAGUCGGACGGGAUCUAUCGGAGAGCUUGCUCGAAGAUAGUGAGAGUGGCGCACGGGUGCGUAACGUGUGAGCAACCUACCCAUAUCAGGGGGAUAGCCCGGAGAAAUCCGGAUUAAGACCGCAUAACACUGUGAUUUGGCAUCAUGUUACAGUUAAAUAUUUAUAGGAUAUGGAUGGGCUCGCGUGACAUUAGCUAGUUGGUGAGGUAACGGCUCACCAAGGCGACGAUGUCUAGGGGCUCUGAGAGGAGAAUCCCCCACACUGGUACUGAGACACGGACCAGACUCCUACGGGAGGCAGCAGUAAGGAAUAUUGGUCAAUGGGCGGAAGCCUGAACCAGCCAUGCCGCGUGCAGGACGACUGCCCUAUGGGUUGUAAACUGCUUUUGUCGAGGAAUAAACCUAUCUACGUGUGGAUAGCUGAACGUACUCGAAGAAUAAGGAUCGGCUAACUCCGUGCCAGCAGCCGCCGUAA